AAACAAAGAAAACUUAAGUCGGCGGACGAAAUAAAAAUAUCCAAAAACUAAGGCCGGCGGAAGACGUGAUUUUCUCGCAAACUAAGCCCUAUGAAAG
rnacentral:sRNA from 1 species